GCCUGCGGAGGCUGGGGCGCUGACACGGCRUAGGGCUGCACCUCCCUCCUCUGGGGGAGCCAGGGCUGCCAGAGCUGCUGGCUCGCUCGGUGAAGCACCAAGGCCGUGGCAGCCGGAGUCGUUGCCACAGAAACUGCAACAACACACGGCGCUGGGAGAGAGAAAGCUCCUUCGUUAAGGAAGACAAUCCCUAGCAGACAAAUCCUCUCCAGCUUAGCACUGUUUGAAGGUGGGAAAGGCUUGGGUGAAAGCAGGCACUGCGCUUUGGACCUCCCCAGAUUUCUUGCACCUACAAAGCUACUGUCUGCAAGAGUCUAGUACAAGCCUUGGGGCUGUCCCUUCU